CCUACGGGGGGCUGCAGUGAGGAAUAUUGGUCAAUGGGCGGGAGCCUGAACCAGCCAAGUCGCGUGAGGGAAGACGGUCCUAUGGAUUGUAAACCUCUUUAGGCGGGGAGCAAUGCCGGGCACGUGUGCCCGGAGGGAGAGUACCCGCAGAAUAAGCAUCGGCUAACUCCGUGCCAGCAGCCGCGGUAAUACGGAGGAUGCGAGGGUUAUCCGGAUUUAUGGGGUUUAAAGGGUGCGUAGGCGGAUUUUUAAGUCAGCGGUAAAAUGUCCGGGCUCAACCCGGGCCGGCCGUUGAAACUGGGGAUCUUGAGUGGGCGAGAAGUAUGCGGAAUGCGUGGUGUAGCGGUGAAAUGCAUAGAUAUCACGCAGAACUCCGAUUGCGAAGGCAGCAUACCGGCGCCCGACUGACGCUGAGGCACGAAAGCGUGGGGAUCGAACAGGAUUAGAUACCCGAGUAGUC
rnacentral:rRNA from 1 species